AACGCACCUUGCGCCCUUUGGUAUUCCGAAGGGCAUGCCUGUUUGAGUGUCAUUAAUCUCUCAGCCUCCUUCACUUUGCGGUGAAGGCUAGGAUUGGAUGUGGGGGCUUGCUGGAGCUCUAGUGGCUUCAGCUCCUCUGAAAUGCAUUAGCAGAAACCGCGUGUACUCGUGGCUUGCUGCAGCUGUGAUAAUUAUCUACGGCUGGGGCUAGUGGCGAGGAUGGUCGCGCUUGGGUCUGAAGGGCUUGCCUCACGGCUCCCUUUGCGUUCUCUUAACUGAGAUACCUAUCCCUUGCGUUGUUUACUACUGUGCGGCUACUUCAGCUUCUAACCGUCUCGCAAGAGACAAUUCUUGACCAUUUGACCUCAAAUCAGGUAGGACUACCCGCUGAACUUAA
rnacentral:misc_RNA from 1 species